ACGCUCGACACCUACGAGAGGCAGCAGUGAGGAAUAUUGGUCAAUGGGCGCUAGCCUGAACCAGCCAAGUAGCGUGAAGGAUGAAGGCUCUAUGGGUCGUAAACUUCUUUAUAUAAGAAUAAAGUGCAGUAUGUAUACUGUUUUGUAUGUAUUAUAUGAAUAAGGAUCGGCUAACUCCGUGCCCGACAGCCGCGGUAAUCUGAGCGGGCUGGCAAGGC
rnacentral:rRNA from 1 species